rnacentral:tRNA from 1 species
CGGGGCGUAGCGCAGCUUGGUAGCGCGCGUCGUUCGGGACGACGAGGUCGCAGGUUCAAAUCCUGUCGCCCCGA